rnacentral:rRNA from 1 species
UAGGCUGAAACUCGCCUACAUGAAGCUGGAGUUACUAGUAAUCGCAGAUCAGAAUGCUGCGGUGAAUGCGUUCCCGGGUCUUGUACACACCGCCCGUCACACCACGGAAGUUGGGGCGCCCGAAGCCACUUAGCUAACCCUUUUGGGAAGCGAGUGUCGAAGGUGAAAUCAAUAACUGGGGUGAAGUCGUAACAAGGUACC